AGACAGUCUUCAUGUCUUCAUGUUGGUGUUGCAAUUCAUUAGACAUUGAGGUCAAAAUGUAGCACCUGACCUUAUUAUCAUCAUCUAACCACUUAUCAUAAGACGCUCUCUAAUCAAUGGUCGGACAAGCUGGUAGAGAGGGGAAGUCCUGGUUGAGUACAUAGACUAUUUUUUCAGAACUCAAGACAAUCUUAAGGUUCUAGAGCUAAUCCUUAAAGUUAGCUCCGAUCAGUCUGUUGGUAUCUAGGAUGCAGAUAAGGAGAUUUGAAGCAGACAUUUCCUACAA
rnacentral:lncRNA from 1 species